rnacentral:rRNA from 1 species
UACGGAGGAUGCGAGCGUUAUCCGGAUUUAUUGGGUUUAAAGGGUGCGUAGGCUGUUGCGUAAGUCAGGGGUGAAAUACCGGCGCUCAACGUCGGAGCUGCCCUUGAUACUGCGUAGCUGGAGUACGGAUGCCGUUGGAGGAAUGAGUGGUGUAGCGGUGAAAUGCAUAGAUAUCACUCAGAACACCGAUUGCGAAGGCAUCUGACGAAUCCGUCACUGACGCUGAGGCACGAAAGCGUGGGGAUAGAAC